rnacentral:rRNA from 1 species
ANNNNANCAUGUAUAGCAUUAUACAGCGAAACUGCGAAUGGCUCAUUAUAUAAGUUAUCGUUUAUUUGAUAGUACCUUACUACUUGGAUAACCGUGGUAAUUCUAGAGCUAAUACAUGCUAAAAAUCCCGACUUCGGAAGGGAUGUAUUUAUUAGAUUAAAAACCAAUGCCCUUCGGGGCUCCUUGGUGAUUCAUGAUAACUUCUCGAAUCGCAUGGCCUUGUGCCGGCGAUGGUUCAUUCAAAUUUCUUCCCUAUCAACUUUCGAUGUUUGGGUAUUGGCCAAACAUGGUUGCAACGGGUAACGGAGGGUUAGGGCUCGACCCCGGAGAAGGAGCCUGAGAAACGGCUACUACAUCCAAGGAAGGCAGCAGGCGCGCAAAUUACCCAAUCCCGACACGGGGAGGUAGUGACAAUAAAUACUGAUACAGGGCUCUUUAGGGUCUUGUAAUUGGAAUGAGUACAAUUUAAAUCUCUUAACGAGGAACAAUUGGAGGGCAAGUCUGGUGCCAGCAGCCGCGGUAAUUCCAGCUCCAAUAGCGUAUAUUAAAGUUGUUGUGGUUAAAAAGCUCGUAGUUGAACCUUGGGCCUGGCUGGCCGGUCCGCCUCACCGCGUGUACUGGUCCGGCCGGGCCUUUCCCUCUGUGGAACCUCAUGCCCUUCACUGGGUGUGGCGGGGAAACAGGACUUUUACUUUGAAAAAAUUAGAGUGCUCCAGGCAGGCCUAUGCUCGAAUACAUUAGCAUGGAAUAAUAGAAUAGGACGUGUGGUUCUAUUUUGUUGGUUUCUAGGACCGCCGUAAUGAUUAAUAGGGACAGUCGGGGGCAUCAGUAUUCAAUUGUCAGAGGUGAAAUUCUUGGAUUUAUUGAAGACUAACUACUGCGAAAGCAUUUGCCAAGGAUGUUUUCAUUAAUCAGGAACGAAAGUUAGGGGAUCGAAGACGAUCAGAUACCGUCGUAGUCUUAACCAUAAACUAUGCCGACUAGGGAUCGGACGGUGUUAUUUUUUGACCCGUUCGGCACCUUACGAGAAAUCAAAGUGCUGGCUCCAGGGGANNNNNNGNNNNNNNUGAANUA